UACGGAGGGUGCGAGCGUUAUUCGGAAUCACUGGGCGUAAAGCGCGCGUAGGCGGCAUGGCAAGUCAGGUGUGAAAGGCCACGGCUUAACUGUGGGACUGCACUUGAGACUGCUGUGCUAGAGUUCGGUAGAGGGUAGUGGAAUUCCCGGUGUAGGGGUGAAAUCCGUAGAUAUCGGGAGGAACACCAGAGGCGAAGGCGACUACCUGGGCCGAUACUGACGCUCAGGUGCGAAAGCGUGGGGAGCAAACAGG
rnacentral:rRNA from 1 species